UUUUUUUUUUAGCAACAGAUAAUGAAGAUAGAGCAACAUUCCAUGGAGAUAAUGCUGAUGAUCAUAUUGCUGCAACUGUAACUGGAAAAACAUUUGCUGUUUUAGCAUGCAUAGUUGUAACUGUGGCCGGUGUAGCGGUUAUAGGAUCAAUUAUCAUUAAAAUCAUGAAGAUAACACAAAAUGGUGACACUUCUUGUGCGAUAAAUAACUCACAUUAUGGGGAAGAUGUUUGCUUUUCAAAAUUCAAACCUGUAGUUUGCGGAAUUAUAAAUAAAAACAAUUUUAUCAAUAGGCCUCCGGAAAACUUUCAGCUAAGAAGAAUUGCUGUCUCUGAAAGACAUUGUAGCUAUGUACCCCAUAUGUAUCACCUAGAAUACAUUGAAAAUCAAUCAUAUACCAGCUUUGAUUUUUGAAGAGGACUUCUUUGUAUUUACUGGUACAUGUUGUCUAGUAUGCAAUGGUCUUUGAUGAACACUUUUAGUUAUAGUGUUUGUACAUAUAAGAACAUGGUUAUUGUUAUCUGUAAACGUUUAUAUUCAUAAGAUGUAGGCUCAGUGAUUUUGUUCACCACAGAAACACCGAACUGAGAUAAAAAAAAUAAUUAUAUUUUGUAUUGCAGAUUAGAUUUUUUAUAGUACUAUCUUCUUCUAUCAAAUUUCAUGCAUAUAGG